UUAUUCUUAUUAUCAUUAUUAGUAAAAAGUCUUCCCUGAUUUCUUACAUUUCUGAUUACUGUUAGUCACCAGUUUUAUGGGCCAUUCCUAUUUCAUUAAGAGGUAACAGACAGGGGAUUAGCUGUGCACUCAACCAGAUAGU